rnacentral:rRNA from 1 species
GACAGAGGGUGCAAGCGUUGUUCGGAAUCAUUGGGCGUAAAGGGCGCGUAGGCGGUUUGGUAAGUCAGAUGUGAAAGCCCCGGGCUUAACCUGGGAACUGCCUUUGAUACUGAAGAUCUUGAGUCCGGGAGAGGUGAGUGGAACUGCGAGUGUAGAGGUGAAAUUCGUAGAUAUUCGCAAGAACACCAGUGGCGAAGGCGGCUCACUGGCCCGGUACUGACGCUGAGGCACGAAAGCGUGGGGAGCAAACAGG